UACGGAGGGUGCAAGCGUUACCCGGAAUCACUGGGCGUAAAGGGCGUGUAGGCGGCUUGGUAAGUCUGGAUUUAAAGACCGAGGCUCAACCUCGGGAAUGGUCUGGAUACUGCCUUGCUUGACGACUGGAGGGGAGAGUGGAAUUCUCGGUGUAGCGGUGGAAUGCGUAGAUACCGAGAGGAACACCAGUGGCGAAGGCGGCUCUCUGGACAGUGCGUGACGCUGAGGCGCGAAAGUGUGGGGAGCGAACCGG
rnacentral:rRNA from 1 species